rnacentral:lncRNA from 1 species
GGGAUCUGCCUUUGGAAGUAAUUCCCUGUGGAGGAGAAAAAAAGAGAUGAAUGGCCACACCAUAUAAUCAAACCAUAAUACUUCUUUUUGUGUGUUGCACAUACCGUUUGCCAGGAAAUCUCUUAUAUUCUUCUUUACCUUCUUCAUCAUCUAAAUCUUAGCUUUAAAGCUAUCCCUUUAGAGGUUAGGUCUCCUUACAGAGCUAAAACAUUCAUAAUCAUUAAAUACCUAAAGGAUUCUGGUGGCUGUGCUUCUGUCUGCCAACCAAAUAAAAAUAAAAGCAUGAAACAAAUAAACAUUUAUCUAUUUUUUUGAGAUAGCAUACAACAAAAUGUAUAUGUAUCUUGAAUAACUUCUUCCUAGAUUUUCUUCAACUCUGUGAUCUCAUUCUGUCUCCUCACACAUGCUGUCCUGUGCUCACUCUUUCUCUGCCUCUUUCUGAGUCUUGCUUUGCUGGUGCCCCAGGCAAGUGCUGAAUUUUCCAACCAGGUCAUUCUGUACUUUCCCCCAUUAAACAUUCCCACAGUGCCCUGUACUACAAGUACUUUGCACAUUGGUAAUCAUGACACUGUUUACUGUGGUCUCUCUUUAAUGUCUGUCUUUCCCAAGAGACUCUUCCAUACGGCAGGGACUUUUCAUCAGUUUGUAAAGUUCAUGAAGAGCACAAAUAUGUGUUUGCUUGACUUGGUAUCCUAUAAAAAGUAAACAACUUUUAAGUGACCAGAGGAGAAAUCAAGGAAUCUUCUAGAACGAUAAACUGGAUUUUUAUGAAUAUAGGGGAUAAAAGAAGAUGAAAACAAUGAGGUGAGAAGACCAAAUGAAAUGAGGUGUUUUCCUGUGCAAGAUUAAUUCAAAGUCUUUACACUCUACUUAAUAUUGUAUUUCUGGUGAGGUAAAUUAGUUUCCUCUAGAUAAUUUAUAUUAAAAUACAAUGUAGAUCUGUAUAUAUUUAUUAUUAGAGUUAAUAAAUAAUGUAGUAAUAUAUUUACUAUUGACAGUUUUAUAAGAUCCAUUCAUAAAAUCAUAGUAAACCUUUUCCUAGUCUGGUGUCCAGAAUAUUAGACUGUAGUCCUCCUUUAUACCGUCAGCCCUUCUGCCACAUUUAUUCAACAAAUAUUUGCUGAACAUUUAGCACAUGUCAGUCAUUGUGCCUGGUACCCAGGUGAAUAGUCCCAUAGGCCUUGCCCUCAAGAAAUUGACAGUUCAAGAUCAGUGGGUACUAAGUUACAGUAAGGAGCAACAAAUUCUGGGGUGCUAUUGCCUGGUAGGAGGA